rnacentral:rRNA from 1 species
AAUGAACGCUAGCGGCAGGCCUAAUACAUGCAAGUCGAGGGGUAGUGGUUGCUUGCAGCCAUGAGACCGGCGCACGGGUGCGUAACGCGUAUGCAACCUACCUUCAUCUGGGGGAUAGCCCGGAGAAAUCCGGAUUAAUACUGCACAAAAUCACAGUCCGGCCUCGUACAAUGAUCAAACAUUUAUGGGAUGGAGCUGGGCAUGCGUGUAAUUAGUUAGUUGGUGGGGUAACGCCCCACCAAGACCGCGAUGACUAGGGGACCUGAGAGGAUGACCCCCCACACUGGUACUGAGACACGGACCAGACUCCUACGGGAGGCAACGGUAAGCAAUAUUGGUCAAUGGGCGCAAGCCUGAACCAGCCAUGCCGCGUGCAGGAAGACGGCCCUCUGGGUUGUAAACUGCUUUUAUUCGGGAAUAAACCUGCUUACGUGUAAGUAGCUGAAUGUACCGAAGGAAUAAGGAUCGGCUAACUCCGUGCCAGCAGCCGCCGUAACAC